GACGAACGCUGGCGGCGUGCUUAACACAUGCAAGUCGAACGGAAAGGCCCUGCUUGCAGGGUACUCGAGUGGCGAACGGGUGAGUAACACGUGGGUGAUCUGCCCUGCACUUCGGGAUAAGCCUGGGAAACUGGGUCUAAUACCGGAUAGGAGCCAUUUUUAGUGUGAUGGUUGGAAAGUUUUUUCGGUGUAGGAUGAGCUCGCGGCCUAUCAGCUUGUUGGUGGGGUAAUGGCCUACCAAGGCGGCGACGGGUAGCCGGCCUGAGAGGGUGGACGGCCACAUUGGGACUGAGAUACGGCCCAGACUCCUACGGGAGGCAGCAGCGGGGAAUAUUGCACGAUGGGCGCAAGCCUGAUGCAGCGACGCCGCGUGGGGGAUGACGGCCUUCGGGUUGUAAACUCCUUUCGCUAGGGACGAAGCUUUUUGUGACGGUACCUAGAUAAGAAGCACCGGCUAACUACGUG
rnacentral:rRNA from 1 species